rnacentral:rRNA from 1 species
UACGUAGGGUGCGAGCGUUAAUCGGAAUUACUGGGCGUAAAGCGUGCGCAGGCGGCUUUGCAAGACAGAUGUGAAAUCCCCGGGCUUAACCUGGGGACUGCAUUUGUGACUGCAUGGCUGGAGUGCGGCAGAGGGGGAUGGAAUUCCGCGUGUAGCAGUGAAAUGCGUAGAUAUGCGGAGGAACACCGAUGGCGAAGGCAAUCCCCUGGGCCUGCACUGACGCUCAUGCGCGAAAGCGUGGGGAGCAAACAGG